UUAUGCUGGGGUUUGAUGAAGAAUGGACAGCUGUGUAGGCCUGCAACUGGAUAAAAAGGACUGGAGUGUGUGCCAGAGGGCGUGCCAAGCUACAAGACAAUCACCUUCGAUUUCCCUGGAGAGUCAAUUUGACCAUAAGGAAUGACCGAAGGAUUGGGGAAGAAAAUACUCCCCCUGCUGAUGCUCCUUUGGUUCUACUUGGGAGUGAAGCUCACAAGAGGAGGGACUGCAAUAAACGUUCCCCAGAUGAUGCAGAGGUCUCUCUCUGCUGACAGUUAAUACCUUGCCUCCAAGCCUGAAUCGCCUUCCUGUCUGCGGGGUGUCUGAACGAACACAGCAAGAUGUGCAGGUCACUGAGUUAGAAGAAGUCGGCAGGGCCUAAGGCCUUCUGCAAGGUGUGACUCUCUCCCUCCAUACUGAGAACAUUUUGAAGUGACUUCAGAGGCUGCAGGGCUUGGGAAGUCCCAUGAGAACCGCUCCCCUUUCCCAAGGCACCGACAUGGCCUGUAGCCAGGCAUUGCUGUUUCUCAGCAGACUGAU
rnacentral:lncRNA from 1 species